rnacentral:rRNA from 1 species
CCUACGGGCGGUAGCAGUCGAGAAUCAUUCACAAUGGGGGAAACCCUGAUGGUGCGACGCCGCGUGGGGGAAUGAAGGUCUUCGGAUUGUAAACCCCUGUCAUGUGGGAGCAAAUUAAAAAGAUAGUACCACAAGAGGAAGAGACGGCUAACUCUGUGCCAGCAGCCGCGGUAAUACAGAGGUCUCAAGCGUUGUUCGGAAUCACUGGGCGUAAAGCGUGCGUAGGCUGUUUCGUAAGUCGUGUGUGAAAGGCGCGGGCUCAACCCGCGGACGGCACAUGAUACUGCGAGACUAGAGUAAGGGAGGGGGAACCGGAAUUCUCGGUGUAGCAGUGAAAUGCGUAGAUAUCGAGAGGAACACUCGUGGCGAAGGCGGGUUCCUGGACAUUAACUGACGCUGAGGCACGAAGGCCAGGGGAGCGAAAGGGAUUAGAUACCCGGGUAGUC